rnacentral:SRP_RNA from 1 species
GCAGUGGCACGUGCCUGUAGUCCCAGCCACUCAGGAGGCUAAGGCUGGAGGAUUGCUUAAGUCCAGGAGUUCUGGGCGAUAGUGUGCUAUGCCAAUUGGGUGUACGCACUGGGCGAUAGUGUGCUAUGCCAAUUGGGUGUACGCACUGGGCGAUAGUGUGCUAUGCCAAUUGGGUGUACGCACUAAGUUCGGCAUCAGUAUACUGACCUCCAGAGAGCAGGGGACCACCAGGUUGCUUAAGGAGGGCUGAACUGGCCUAGGCUGGAAACAGAGCAGGUCAAAACUCCCGUGCUGAUCAGUGGUAGCGCCUGUGAAUAACCACUGCACUCCAGCCUGGGCAACAUAGUGAGACCUCAUCUCU